rnacentral:rRNA from 1 species
GACCGGGAUAACCCUGGGAAACUGGGGAUAAUACUGGAUAGGCAAUUUUUCCUGUAAUGGUUUUUUGUUUAAAUGUUUUUUCGCCUUAGGAUGGGUCUGCGGCCGAUUAGGUAGUUGGUUAGGUAAUGGCUUACCAAGCCGUUGAUCGGUACGGGUUGUGAGAGCAAGAGCCCGGAGAUGGAACCUGAGACAAGGUUCCAGGCCCUACGGGGUGCAGCAGGCGCGAAACCUCCGCAAUGUGAGAAAUCGCGACGGGGGGAUCCCAAGUGCCAUUCUUAACGGGAUGGCUUUUCAUUAGUGUAAAGAGCUUUUGGAAUAAGAGCUGGGCAAGACCGGUGCCAGCCGCCGCGGUAACACCGGCAGCUCUAGUGGUAGCAAUUUUUAUUGGGCCUAAAGCGUCCGUAGCCGGUUUAAUAAGUCUCUGGUGAAAUCCUGCAGCUUAACUGUGGGAAUUGCUGGAGAUACUAUUAGACUUGAGACCGGGAGAGGUUAGAGGUACUCCCAGGGUAGAGGUGAAAUUCUGUAAUCCUGGGAGGACCGCCUGUUGCGAAGGCGUCUAACUGGAACGGUUCUGACGGUGAGGGACGAAAGUUAGGGCGCGAACCGGAUUAGAUACCCGGGUAGUCCUAACUGUAAACGAUGCGGACUUGGUGUUGGGGUGGCUUUGAGCUGCUUCAGUGCC